CGUCCAAAAAUCUCCAGAUCCUUUCCUGCACUUCUUGUUCGCUCCCCUCCCCUCCCCCGAUUCCCAGACGCUCGAACUACCAUUAUUAUUUAAAGGAAACGUUCCACCCACCGGGCUCGGAUUCCCCUUAAUCCCCGCCACCUACCCUUCCAUCCUUCUCGUUUGCCCUCCGCGUUCUUGGAACCCUAGCGGGCCCGAUUACCAUCCAUGGAGUUCGCCUCGCCGAGCAGGGAGAAGAUGGAGCACCUGGGAACCAUGGAGCGAUCCUGCCGGUCCUCGCCUUCCAGGGCGGCGAGGCAGGACGUGGACGCCGCCUCGGAGACAUCCUCCGUGCACUCCGGCGAUCCAUCCGACCGAAGGGAUGUCGACAGCUUGACUCAAGUACUCUCGACGAGAAGCGAAGAGUAUCGGCUGCUGUUCCGGCUUCCCACCGAUGAGGUGCUUGUUCAGGAUUUUAACUGCGCUCUCCAAGAAAAUUUUCUUCUUCAGGGACAUAUGUAUUUGUUCAUUCAUCAUAUCUGCUUCUAUUCCAACAUUUUUGGAUUUGAGACGAAGAAAACAAUUUCUUUUAAUGAAGUCACAUGUGUCCGUAAAGCAAAGACCGCUGCAAUCUUUCCGAAUGCUAUAGAAAUUGUUGCAGGAGCGAAAAAGCACUUCUUUGCAUCUUUUCUGUCACGCGAUGAAGCUUAUCGGCUUAUUGUCGAUGGUUGGGCACAGCAUAGCAGUGAUGCCAAUGCCUCUCAAGAUUGUCAGGACACAAAGUCUGAUUCCAGCAGCCAAGACAGUGGCAUUGUUAAGUUGGAAGAACUAAGAGGAUCUAAACAAUUGGCUGAUGCUUCAUUAUCCUCAGACGAGAACAAGGAUGCUGAUAUAUCAGAAGAACAUAAACCUUUGCCUAAUGGUAAAAAUGACAUCAGCAUGUCCAUAAAGCUCUUAGAAGUUCAGGAGAGUAUAGGUGAAGAAAAUGCUGGUCAUUCAUCUCCACGAAAUCCUAUAACUUGGAAGCUUGAGGAUGUUGAUGCUCCUAAGAUACCUGAAUACUUUACGAUGGUUGCAGAAGCAAAAUUUCUGGUCUGUGUAGAGGAUUUCUUCAGUCUAUUUAUCUCUGAUUCUGCUGCUGACUUUCUAGAAAGCUUCCAUAAAAGAUGUGGUGACAAGGAUUUUAAGUGCACUCCAUGGUGUCAGCACAAACAAUUUGGACAUGUACGUGAUAUCUCGUUUCUGCAUCCAGUCAAGAUAUAUCUUGGUGCAAAAUUUGGUAACUGCCGGGAGGUCCAGAAAUUUUGUGUGUAUAGAAACAGCCGUUUAAUGAUUGAGGCAUCACAACAAGUUAGUGACGUGCCUUAUGGGGAUUACUUUCAAGUCAAGGGUAUAUGGGAUGUGGAACAAAGCAAUAAUGAAGAAAAUAGUUGCACUCUGCGAGUGUAUUCAAAUGUGUCAUUUUCAAAGAAGACUAUUUUUAAAGGGAAAAUAGAGCAAUCAACAAGAGAGGAAUGCCGAGAAGUUUACGGGAUGUGGAUCAACAUGGCUCAGGAAUUGUUGAGUCAGAAAAAUGUCGGCAAAUUAAAAGGAAUUGAUGAUAAGAAUACAGGCAUAAUUCAAGAUCAUGAAGCUGGAUUAAAAAAUUUUUCAGAAGUUGAAGGAUAUUCAGAAAAGUCACAUCCAACAAUACAUCCAAUAAAGCUCCCACAGAACAUGCCUGAUACUAGGAGUUUCUGUACAAAGAUUGACAAUGUUAUGCAAGAAAAUCUUGGAUAUGUUUCAUCCAUGGCAUCCAGUUUUGGAGAAUCAUGGGCUUCCAUUGUUUCAUAUCUGAAGACUCAAAGCCAUUUUCCUCUGAUUUUAGUUCUGGCGGUUGUUUCAAUUCUCAUCCUAAUGCAGAUAAGCAUCAUUGUACUAUUAAAUAGAGUCCCUGAAGUCCAUGUAGUCACUCAGGGGAACUACAUAAAUAAUCUUGGUAGCUACAGUUCAGAGAACAUAGAGUGGUUGGAGAAGCGAUUUAACUACCUUAAGGAAGAAAUGAUGAUGGUAGAAACUCGGAUGGAGAGGAUGCGGUAUGAAUAUUCAUUAUUGAAGGUGCAGCUUCAAAGCCUCGAGCAGCUCAAGGCCAAGUCAUGACUAUGGAUCAAAGAUCAUAAUUUGGUUGAGAUAUGCUUUGGCUACCUGAAGUAAGAAAUGCCAAGGGUAAAGUGAUAUUGAAGAUGCCGUCAUGAAUAGGUGAUACUGAAGGCCAAUCUGUACAGGUUUGAGUGGCUAAAAACCAAGUUAUAGCCAGCAUUUAGCUGUUCAUAGUUUGCAUGCAUGUUGUCAAGGAAUUUGUUGGUUGCGAUUUUAUGCCAUACGUGGAGAAGAAUCCAGCAUCAGUUGCUUAUCCAUUUUACAAUCAAAUUCUUCGGGAGAAGGAUCACAAAGUGGUUCACGUGAAUUAAUCUGCCCUUAAAUCUAUGUUCUGUCCAUCUUCUUAGCAGUUUGUUCCACAACCUUGUUUCUCAGUAUUGUACUUCUAGCAAAGUGUCUGCAUGACAAGUCACCUUAUUUUCUUUUUAAUUUGCAAAGUUCUGUUGUCUUCUGAUGUUCUUACUCAUGUAACCUUGUUGUCAUACCAAAGGUGGGAGUCGGGUCAAAAUUGUUGGUAUCUGCAGAAUUAUUUCAUUACUGCCACUGUACAUAUCUCCGUGGUUUCAUUGUUCUUACAUAUUUCAAAAUGUUUGGAGGCAUGAGGAUGCAUCAGUUCUUA